rfam:Schistosoma rodhaini strain Burundi genome assembly, scaffold: SROB_scaffold0003600
AUCCAGAUGACGAGUCCCAAAUAGGACAAAAUGUGCAUCCUGGAU